UGGGGAAUAUUGGACAAUGGGUGAAAGCCUGAUCCAGCAAUGCCGCGUGGGUGAAGAAGGUCUUCGGAUUGCAAAGCCCUUUCGGCGGGGACGAUGAUGACGGUACCCGCAGAAGAAGCCCCGGCUAACUUCGUGCCAGCAGCCGCGGUAAUACGUAGGGGGCGAGCGUUGUCCGGAGUUACUGGGCGUAAAGGGCACGCAGGCGGUGCUGCGCGUUUCGCGUGACAGCGGAGGGCUUAACUCUCCGAGGAUGCGAAAGACGGCAGGACUUGAGGGCCAGAGAGGGACACGGAAUUCCGGGUGGAGUGGUGAAAUGCGUAGAGAUCCGGAGGAACACCGAAGGCGAAGGCAGUGUCCUGGCUGGUGACUGACGCUGAGGUGCGAAAGCUAGGGGAGCGAACGGGAUUAGAUACCCCGGUAGUCCUAGCCGUAAACGAUGACCACCAGGUGUGGGAGGGAUCGACCCCUUCCGUGCCGGCGUUAACGCACUAAGUGGUCCGCCUGGGGGGUACGGUCGCAAGAUUA
rnacentral:rRNA from 1 species